GCCUUAGUAACACAGUGUUGUUGUUUUGCAGGUAACCCAGUGUCUGCAGUGGUGACAUGUAACCUGUUUGUGAUUCCUGCUCUGAGGAAGAUGCAAGGCAUUCUGGAUCCUAGACCUACAAUAAUUAAAGCUAGGCUCUCCUGUGAUGUGAAGCUGGAUCCCAGACCAGAGUACCACCGCUGUAUUCUGACCUGGCACCACCAGGAGCCCCUACCCUGGGCACAGAGCACAGGCAACCAGGUAUCCAGCAGGCUAAUGUCCAUGCGUAGCGCCAACGGUCUGCUGAUGUUACCUCCCAAAACAGAGCAGUAUGUGGAGCUGCAUAAGGGAGAGGUCGUCGACGUCAUGGUCAUCGGACGGCUAUGAUGCAGACUUCUAUGUCACUCGCUACCGAUUACCAUGGCAGUGCCAGGACUUCCUGUCAGGACAGGAAACGGGCGGGGGCAGGAAGUGAUGCAUGUCUACCUGGUCGCCAUUAGCUGUGAUGUCAUAUGCAACAGCCAAUCGGAGCCAGCGGAGGCUGAAACCUCAUUGGUCUGCUCUGAGGAGAUCACUGUUCAAUGGAGAGAAAAAAUAUAUAUAUAAAAUACGAGAUUUAUUCUGUAAUAUUAUUAUCCUGAUGAUAAUGAUUAUUAAUAUUGUUAAUUAAUAUUCUAUUUAUUAUUAUUAUUAUUAUUAUCAUGGUUCUGAUUGAAUAUUAUCAUCUUAGUAGUAAUCAUCCCCUCUUCUCUCCUUUUCAUUUGCUUUGUGCGUUGGAUAUUUUUCCCUCGUAGAUAUAGAGACGUAGAGACUCCUUCCUCCACCUCCUUCUUUUCCUUUUCUCUCACCCUCUUUUCUUUUCUAGAACACCAUAUUGAAACCCCCUCCCUGCAGUAUCACUACGCCUCCCCCGACCUACACUAUUGACAGAAAUAUGAGCGUAUAAAGACAUCUUUUUUUGAAGCUGCUGAUAUAGUUUGUGCCAGUACAGUAUAUAUAUAUAACAUUAUUUUUGCCAACAAAUACAAUGAUAACUUGUUUUUAAUUUUGUUUUAAUCAUACUGAGACAUUAAAACUUUUCAUGACUCACAGAAACGAUCAAAAAGAAAUAUGACUUCACUGAUCUUCUGUCAUAGGUCAGGUGAGCCACAUACAGUAUAAAGUAUUAGUCUAACCUUACCACUUGUGGUGUUUGAUUUACACAACAUCAUAGUUGACACCACAAAACUGCAGUAAAAAAUAUAAAAACUUUGUGGUAUUUGCAUCUCUACAACUAUUGGAGGAUAUUGUUGUGAAAUUCUAUGUUUUUCUAUUAUCAACAAAUCACAUCAAAAUGACCAGAAUUGUCAUAUUUCUAGUCAUUAUGCUAAGCUAAUGCUAACCAGCUGCUGGCUUUAACUUCAUAUUAAUAAACACAGAUGAGAGAGCAGAACGCUUCAUAUUUUUUUAUUACUCUCGUUAUUUUACUUUGGUCGUAUUUACCAAAAUGUAUAACAAUUUUUUUUUAAAGGGACAGAAUAGUGCAUUUACAAAAACAGCUUGGCACUUAUAAUAAUAAUAAUAAUGUUAUAUUUAUAGAUUGCUUUUUAAGGUGCUCUGAGAGACUUUACACAUACAAGUCAAAAUUCAUAAAACAAACAAAAUGUACCAUAAUAGUUAUUUACAUGCUACUCUAGAAUUUGAGCAAACAUGACAUGUUGGGGACUUCUUUUUUGCCAUGGAGAAUUCAAAUAUGUAUCAUAUCUGUGUGAUUGAGUCAAAAUGAACCAUAGACCAUGUGUUCAAGGUGAAAACAAAUGGACUUCACUUGUUCAAAAGUGUGACUCAGCGAUGUGUUUUUUGUCGAUUUUGGACAAAAAGGAGCUCCAUGGCAGGAAGAAUAUAUUAUGGGUUUGAUGCACACAUGAUAUUCCACCAUAGGAUUCAUUUAUAACUGGUUUGGGACUUUUCAUGUGAUUUGUUGACUACAGAGAAAAAUAUGUCCUUUUUAAGUAUAGCCAAAGAUGAAUGAAUAUGUGCCGGUUAGUCUCAAAGGCUGGCUUCUGUUUGGCCAAUCAGCCGCCUCCAUCUUUUUCAAACCACAACAACAUGAGUGAAAGUGCUGCUUGAGUGAGUUGUGAUAGACCGUUUUCCCAACUCAGAGAAAACUCCGACCCGACAUCACCUGAAAGCAGGGUGUCGCGUUCAGGUGCUCGGAAACUACACAACUAGUGUUUUUCCUACCACAACUGUGUUAAGGUGCUCGUUAAAGUCAAAAUAAUCCAAACAGUUUAACGCUGUCUCUCAAUAUACUGUACAUAGUCUGAGCAUCACUGAGAAAUAAAGAAAACAUGUUUGAUAUUUAGCCCACAAUCAAAGUUUACUAUUAGCUUGAGCCAGUUAGCUGCUGUAUCCUGCUGAUCAAACACUUCAAUGGUUUACCAAUUAACAAGGACCGUUCAAAUGCAUCAUAUGCAAACUGUGAGUCCCAAGCAUUCACCUAUGCACCAUACCUUAACUCCUCUAGCUCUCCUGAUUCUUCCUAUCAGUGCAACACAAAUACACAAGGUCAAAGGUAAAAUGCUGCAUUCAGGUCAUAUUGGAAUAACAGUACAAAAUGAUGGUACUUAUUUUAAUUUAUUUUUCCACUUAAAGUGGUCAAACAUUUAAAAAAAAAAGAAGCUAGUCCUAUGUCUUUCCUAAACACUUUUCUUUGAUCUUUCAUGGGGUUAAGGAAAAGACAAUGUUCCUAAGAGGGUGGGAAAACUACAAAAUGUUUCUAUAUAUGGACUAGCAACGCAUCUAGAUACCUCACCGUUUUUAUCAUAUUUUUUCAAGCAGGCUUUUAAACGCGGCCGAAAGAGAAAUAUAUCACUUCAUUACAACGUUUAAACUCCAAUUUAAAAAAAAAAAAAAAAAAAAAAACCCUCACUUUUUAGUUUAACUUGACAAACUUAAAAACAUAGGUAUUUUACAACUUAAAUGAUCUGUGUUUGUCGGUCAAUAUUGGUUGUUUCUGAUUGGUCGAAUGGUGCCAUACCUUACAGUAAAUGUUGCAACCACAAGGAAUUGUGAGUUAGUUUUCUCUCAUUUCGCAAAGGAUUGUUCAGCGUAUCCUAAGCUAAAAAUAUAUAUUUUGGGAAGCAUUGAAGCUCCUUUGCUAUAGAGAAUUCAAACGGCUCUUAUCAUUGCUGCCACUGAGGUUCUUCCGGGUUAUUAGGAACCUUCCUAAGAGAAAGAGUGUAUUAAACCGCAACCCAAGAUGUUUUCCUAGAUGCCUCUGAUGAUCUUCAGUAACCCCAAAAGAUAUGACGUCAAGAUCAGAAGCUUCUAUAUUUCCUGUGUGAACUGAAUGCAGCACCAUAGAGAACUCCUGAGCUUUGACCCCUCUCUCUUGAUAGGCUGAUGCAGUCUUCCUCCACCCCUCCCCCCUGUCCUUCCUAACAUCUCAUCUUCCUUUUUUUCUUCCCUCCUUCUCUCACUUGCAUGCCAAUAAAAAGGGGGCGUGUCCUCCUCUUUAGGCAGGUGUCAUUUCAGGCGUGAGACGGGGGGGCAGCACCUGGGCACGACUUCUGAUCUGACUAAAUGUUACAGUUCUUUAUGUGACAAGUGGUGCGAAAAAAAUAAAUAAUCAAAGUCCAGACUCUGGUAUCACACUGUCUUCUCAUUUAUUCCUCUAGCUCAGAUAUCAGAAAAUUCCCAGUUACCUCAAAUGCACCAUAUGUCAAUCAGUGGCUCAUGCUGGGUUCAUGUCGUAUAAGAAAAAACGGAAGAACAGGGUGACUUAUUUUGCAAAUUCAUACAGUGGUAGACCACAUCAAAUUUAAAUAAAAGAAGUUUUAAAUUGAUAUUAUGUUUUUUCGGCAGCUGAUAUUUAAAAAUAAACCCAUUAUUACACGAACGCAGCAUCAGAACAAGUCCUGACACCUGCCCAAGGAGGAUGAAUCGAACCCAGAUAGAUUCAUUUGAGUAAGAAGAUUCAUUUGAGUAAGAAGAAGCAGGUUUUUGUUAAACUGCCUUUGUACUGAGUGAUUGGUAACACUGGACUGAACUCAGUGUCACACUGCACACUCUAUAAACUAUGACCAGCACUUGUACUGAAGCAAUGACACAGCAUUCUAUUACUACUGUAUACAAAUUAUGAAGAGGAUGUUUUUUUCUGUAAUGAUAUUAUUGAAACUGAAGAUGAAUUAAUAAAAAUAAUCCUGAUUAUUCUGUA